rnacentral:rRNA from 1 species
UACGUAGGGUCCGAGCGUUGUCCGGAGUUACUGGGCGUAAAGGGCGCGCAGGUGGCGGUGUUGGCCCGGCGUGAAAGCCCCCGGCUCAACCGGGGAGGGUCGUCGGGGACCGCACCGCUUGAGGGCGGUAGGGGCUGGUGGAAUGCCUGGUGUAGUGGUGAAAUGCGUAGAGAUCAGGCGGAACACCCGUAGCGAAGGCGGCCAGCUGGGCCGUCCCCUGACACUGAGGCGCGAAGGCGUGGGGAGCGAACGGG